rnacentral:misc_RNA from 1 species
AACGCAUAUUGCACUCUCUGGUAAUCCGGAGAGUAUGCCUGUUUGAGGGUCAGUAAAUAAUAAUUAUCAUGAAUCUUUGAUUUAUGGAAUUGGGCUUUUAUUUCGUUAGAUCUAUGGCCUUAAAUUUACGUUAUGGGCUUGUCAUAUAAAAUCCAAUCUAAAGGAGCAAUUAAACAUUCUCAUUGGCGCGGAUUUUUACAAGCUGUUAUGAUCUUUGGUUGCUUUCAGCAUUUUUACGAGUGCAAAACCAAGAUUGUAAGUUUACUCUAACAAUGACCUCAAAUCAGGCAAGAAUACCCGCUGAACUUAA